GUGUAUAGGAUAUGGAUACAGCCUGACCCAGAGCAGAUUCCAGAAGGUACAGGCAGAUUAAGCUGAGGAAUGUGUUGAGUCAGAUAAGUCAAGAUAUGGAGGUUCUAUGCACCAUAAUAUUUUAUUUCAGGAUUUCUUCAAGCCCAUACUAAUGGAGCUACUUGAUCCCACCAAGCAGGAUCUAGCUGACCCAGCUGCUUUCUAAACAGUCCCAAACGCUCCAGUUCCCUAACAAGGAUUUGAGAUUUCUGGCAUUAUCACAAACAGACCUGUACAUUGUGUUCCUCUCCAAUCAAGCUAUCCUAGGCAUGUUUACUCAGCAGUAUGUUCCACUGUGUUCUCUGGGAUUCAUUCUCAGGUUGAACAAGUAUUCUGAAUCUCAGACUAAAUAUAGUAAAGCUGCAAUUCUAUGUUACUUGGGGAAAAAUCCUAUUGAACUAAAUGUGACUUCUUUCUGAGUAAGUAUGCUUUAGAUCUGGCUGAAAA